GAUGAACGCUGGCGGCGUGCCUAAUACAUGCAAGUCGAGCGAACAGACGAGGAGCUUGCUCCUCUGACGUUAGCGGCGGACGGGUGAGUAACACGUGGAUAACCUACCUAUAAGACGGGGAUAACUUCGGGAAACCGGAGCUAAUACCGGAUAAUAUAUUGAACCGCAUGGUUCAAUAGUGAAAGACGGUUUUGCUGUCACUUAUAGAUGGAUCCGCGCCGCAUUAGCUAGUUGGUAAGGUAACGGCUUACCAAGGCGACGAUGCGUAGCCGACCUGAGAGGGUGAUCGGCCACACUGGAACUGAGACACGGUCCAGACUCCUACGGGAGGCAGCAGUAGGAAAUCUUCCGCAAUGGGCGAAAGCCUGACGGAGCAACGCCGCGUGAGUGAUGAAGGUCUUCGGAUCGUAAAACUCUGUUAUUAGGGAAGAACAAAUGUGUAAGUAACUAUGCACGUCUUGACGGUACCUAAUCAGAAAGCCACGGCUAACUACGUG
rnacentral:rRNA from 1 species